rnacentral:rRNA from 1 species
GACGAACCGUCCAAACGUUAUUCGGAAUUACUGGGCUUAAAGGGUGCGUAGGCGGUACCGAAAGUUAGGUGUGAAAGUUCGAGGCUCAACCUCGAAAUUGCACCUAAUACUCCGGUGCUUGAGUCUCAUAGAGGAAUCUGGAAUUCACGGUGUAGCAGUGAAAUGCGUAGAUAUCGUGAAGAAGGCCUGUGGCGAAAGCAAGAUUCUGGGUGACGACUGACGCUGAGGCACGAAAGCCAGGGGAGCAAACGGG